UCCAUUUGUCAUUCAAAAGUAGAUUAGUGAGAGACGGCGGGGCGCUGAGAAGCGGCCAGCAAUGCAGAGAGAAACGGCGCUGCGGAUUCUGUGGAGUCCUGCCGGCUGUGCCCUCACUGAGCUCCGGGCUGAGUUCAGGGUUUGAGAAGGGGAAGGAAGCGGUCCAGUUCUGUCCCCCACACGGGACAGUCCACCAUGGAAGCCAGCCGCCACCAUCUUGGAGAGCUGACUUCACCAUCGCCAGUUUCCGACAGAUCGCAGCAAUAGAACAGGUGUGUGUUAUUCAGCCCAUCUCCCAUACAGUGGGGAAUUCGCAUAAAAUCUCUCCCCGGCUUUCCGGGGGAGGGAUUAUCAGAUUGACUGGGAAUAGAGACGUGGGGAAAGGUAAAGGCACCUGACCUCCAACUCCCCCUCCCAUCAGCGGCAAAAACGAAACCUGUCUUGCCAGCUCUGGGGGAGUGGCAAGCGGAAGGAAUCAACACAAUAAGUUGCCGGUUCCCAAUUGCCACACUCCACACCCAGCAAACUGCAGGCCCAGAGUAUAGUUUGAACUGCUGAGAGGCAUCACACUGUGGAAGGCCUGGCUAGCAGGAGAAGCCAGGGGACUAGAGGCCAGGAAUAAACCUAAGCUAAUAGGUUUUUAAGAGACAAGGGGGGGGGGGAGUGGCCUCACACAGACUGUAUCCUACAGCCAGAGGGCAAAAUCUUGGCCCAGAAGGCACAGAACCA
rnacentral:lncRNA from 1 species